rnacentral:rRNA from 1 species
CGGGGCGCAGCAGGCGCGAAACCUUUACAAUGCACGAAAGUGUGAUAAGGCAAUCCGAAGUGCUUACACAUUGUGUAGGCUUUUGCCAAUGGUAAAUACAUUGGCGAAUAAGUGGUGGGCAAGACUGGUGCCAGCCGCCGCGGUAACACCAGCGCCACGAGUGGGAACCAUUUUUAUUGGGCUUAAAGCGUUCGUAGCCGGUUUAGUAAAUCUUUUGUGAAACUGUUAUUUUCAACAUAACAACGCGCAGAAGACACUGCUAAACUAGGAACCGGGAGGGGUCAGAAGUAUGCCGUGGGGAGCGGUAAAAUGCUAUAAUCCUCGGUGGACUACCUUUGGCGAAGGCGUCUGACUAGAACGGGUUCGACGGUGAGGAACGAAAGCUAGGGGAUCAAUCCGGAUUAGAUACCCGAGUAGUCCUAGCUGUAAACUCUGCGAGCUAGAUAUUGUGCAUUCUUCGUGAAUGUGCAGUGUCGGAGCGAAAGCGUUAAGCUCGCCGCCUGGGAAGUAUAGUCGCAAGACCGAAACUUAAAGGAAUUGGCGGGGGAGCACUACAACAGGUGCGGCGUGCGGUUUAAUCUAACUUCACACAGAGAAUCUCACCAGGGGCGGCGGCAGGAUGAAAGUCAGUCUAAAGGGCUUACUUAACGAGCCGAGAGGUAAUGCGUGGCCGCCGUCAGCUCGUACCGUAAGGUGUCCGGUUAAGUCCGGCAACGAGCGAGACCCGCGCC